CAAGACAUGAAGUUAGGUCAGCAAACC
rnacentral:rRNA from 1 species